rnacentral:rRNA from 1 species
CCCUUAGAUGAUUUGGGCUGCACGCGCGCUACACUGACCCUAACAAUGAGCAACUGUCUGGCCUGAGAUGGCUGGGUAGCCUUUUCAACCCAUGUCAUGAUUGGGCUAGAUUUUUGUAAGUCUUGAUCUCUAACGAGGAAUCCCUAGUAUGCGUGAAUCAUCAAUCCAUGCAGAUUAUGUCCCUGCCCUUUGUACACACCGCCCGUCGCUCCUACUGAUUGGGUGAUCCGGUGAGCUGUUCGGCCAUAGCAAUGUUUCUUGAGCAGGGCAAUGAAUGUUCCGCAAACCUUGCCACUUAGAGGAAGGAGAAGUCGUAACA